rnacentral:rRNA from 1 species
UCGUAACAAGGUUUCCGUAGGUGAACCUGCGGAAGGAUCAUUAUCGAAUAAACUUGAACAGGCUGUUGCUGGUCCCUUGGGGGGCAAAGUGCACGCUUGUCAUCUUUAUAUCUCUCCAACUGUGCACAUAUUGUAGACCGAGUUUUUGGGACUGCUGCGCUUCUUUUCUAGUCGGCUUUCCCUUUUUUUUUCAUUUCAGGUCUAUCUAAACACAAAACACCCUGUCAUUUUAGAAUGUUGAAUAAAAGAUGAAUUUUAUACAACUUUCAGCAACGGAUCUCUUGGCUCUCGCAUCGAUGAAGAACGCAGCGAAAUGCGAUAAGUAAUGUGAAUUGCAGAAUUCAGUGAAUCAUCGAAUCUUUGAACGCAUCUUGCGCUCCUUGGUAUUCCGAGGAGCAUGCCUGUUUGAGUGUCAUUCAAGUUCUCAACCGCGCAUCAUCUUGUUGCGGCUUGGAAAUGGAGGUUUAUGCAGGCUGGAUCAUCAUCAAGUCUGCUCCUCUGAAACGAAUUAGUGGUGUCUUUUUACCCACUAGGUGUGAUAAAACUAUCUAUGCCUAUGCUGAACAAAAAGAACAUUGCUGCAAACCCUGUUUUUGAUGAAUUUGACCUCAAAUCAG